rfam:Nectria haematococca mpVI 77-13-4 chromosome 11 genomic scaffold NECHAsca_30_chr11_1_0, whole genome shotgun sequence.
GCCCGGUUAGCUCAAUCGGUAGAGCGUGAGACUCUUAGAAUGCCUCGGUAACAAAGUUACCAUGGUACGAGUACGCGAUCUCAAGGUUGCGGGUUCGACCCCCGCAUCGGGCU